UACGUAGGUGGCAAGCGAUACUCGGAAUCACUAGGCGUAAAGCGCAGGUAGGCGGUUUGGUAAGUCUUUUGUGAAAGCUCCCGGCUUAACUGGGAGUGGUCAAGGGAAACUACCGGACUAGAGUGUGGUAGGGGAUACUGGAAUUCCUGGUGUAGCGGUGAAAUGCGUAGAUAUCAGGAGGAAUACCUAUGGCGAAAGCAGGUAUCUGGGCCAUCACUGACGCUGAGCUGCGAAAGCUAGGGGAGCAAACAGG
rnacentral:rRNA from 1 species